rnacentral:rRNA from 1 species
AGUGAACGCUGGCGGUAUGCCUAACACAUGCAAGUCGAACGACAGGACAGUAAGAUCUUUCUCUUGCGGGUGGCGAGGGGCGGACGGGUAAGGAGUAGAUCGGAAUCUUCUUUUUCUGGGGUGAUAACGGGGGGAAGCUUAUGCUAAUACCUCAUACGACCUACGGGUUGAAUCAGUAGAUCUUGAGAGCUUUGCCGUUUCAAUUAGCCGAUGUCGGAUUAGCUAGUUGGUGUGGUAAGGGCCCACCAAGGCGACGAUCCGUAGCUGGGCUGAGAGGAUGAUCAGCCACACUGGAACUGAGACACGGUCCAGACUCCUACGGGAGGCAGCAGUGGGGAAUAUUGGACAAAGGGCGAAAGCCUGAUCCAGCCAUACCGCGUGGGUGAAGAAGGCCUUCGGGUCGUAAAGCCCUUUUGUUGGGAAAGAAAAGAAGCAGGUUAAUCCCCCGAUGUUUUGACGGUACCCAAAGAAUAAGCACCGGCUAACUUCGUG